GACGAACGCUGGCGGCGUGCUUAACACAUGCAAGUCGAACGGAAAGGCCCUGCUUUUGUGGGGUGCUCGAGUGGCGAACGGGUGAGUAACACGUGAGUAACCUGCCCUACAUUUUGGGAUAACUUCAGGAAACUGGGGCUAAUACCGGAUAGGAGAUCCUGCUGCAUGGUGGGUGUUGGAAAGUUUCGGCGGGUGGGGAUGGACUCGCGGCUUAUCAGCUUGUUGGUGGGGUAGUGGCUUACCAAGGCUUUGACGGGUAGCCGGCCUGAGAGGGUGACCGGCCACAUUGGGACUGAGAUACGGCCCAGACUCCUACGGGAGGCAGCAGUGGGGAAUAUUGCACAAUGGGAGGAAGCCUGAUGCAGCAACGCCGCGUGCGGGAUGACGGCCUUCGGGUUGUAAACCGCUUUCGCCUGUGACGAAGCGUGAGUGACGGUAAUGGGUAAAGAAGCACCGGCUAACUACGUG
rnacentral:rRNA from 1 species